rnacentral:rRNA from 1 species
AGGACGAACGCUGGCGGCGUGCUUCAUACAUGCAAGUCGAACGAGAAGUACCUUCGGGUAAUAGACAGUGGCGGACGGGUGAGUAAUGUGUAGAGAAUCUGCCCUAGAGUGGGGGACAACAGUUGGAAACGACUGCUAAUACCGCAUAUGCGCGUAGCUGAGAUGCUAUUCGUGAAAACUCCGGUGCUCUGGGAUGAGUCUGCAUCUGAUUAGCUAGUUGGGGGUGUAAUGGACCACCAAGGCGACGAUCAGUAGCUGGUUUGAGAGGAUGAUCAGCCACAAUGGGACUGAGACACGGCCCAUACUCCUACGGGAGGCAGCAGUAGGGAAUUUUGCGCAAGUGGGGGAAACCCUGACGCAGCAACGCCGCGUGAUUGAAUAAGCCCGUUCGGGGUGUAAAGAUCUGUCAGUGGGGACGAAACUUGACGGUACCCACAGAGGAAGCAUCGGCUAACUCCGUGCCAGCAGCGGC